rnacentral:lncRNA from 1 species
ACGCCCUUUUCUCUCUUUUGUUUGAGGGCAUAUUAGACUUUUGAGCUUAUCUGUAUACGUGGCUUUUUUAUAUCUAUCCAAUUACUACGUGUAGCGUUUUUUACGUUAUUACAGAGGUGGGUUUUAUUGGAUUUCUGUACAUCACAAUUUACAGAGCUUCAGAUAUCUUCGUCUUCCUCAUCUCUUCAACUUCUGCAGGUGCUUUUCUUAUUUGCAUACAACUACCUCUUUUUUUGUGUCUGAUAUAAUUUUGUUAUAUAGCGGACGGAGGUUUCUGAUUUUAAUGUAUUUAUUACAUGUCGUGCAGCUAUGUGUGGUGUAUUUGCGUGUACUCGCAUCUCUUUUUACUGGCUAAAUUUGAGCUUAUGGUAUAAUAAAGCACAAACAAAGAUGUAUGACAGGCCAUGUUUAGAAAAGUAUGUCAAUUACCACCAACUAAUUUGGUUCUCUUGCUUUUCUUCCUCUUCUCAACUUUCUCUUUGAAAGAAUGAGAUAGGCUACACUAACAAAUAAUCCCUACAGGUACCAAUAUUUUUGACAGAAGCAGGCAAGAAAGGAGCCUAACCAAAGCGUGAUAGCUGCACUAUAUUGCGUAAAUAUGCAUAGUAUAUAUAGCUGCACUAUAAAUAGCUGCACUAUAUUUCUCCCAUAGAUGAAAGGAUUUGGCAACCACACAACAUUCAAGAAUGGAUAUUUUGUCAUUCAUAUUCAUAAAUAAUAUCCUACAGUUGGUAUAUAAUAUCGUUAAAGUCAAUUGAUAGUUAUUUACAUGUAUUGAUUUUUUAUUAUCUGCGAUUUCAUAUCAAAAUGAAGUUACAUCUUCUAUAUUAUUGGGCCGUGCUAGUACGGGCAAUUACCGUCUAGUGCAUACAAUAAAACAAUGUUCCUUGGUGCAGAAAAGAGCGCCUGCAUAAGACAAAAUGGUGAUGCAUUAACGUGUAAAAAAGAGAUAUCACUGAAAAUAGAAAUAGUGGAUCAGUAUUCUAUGUGCUCUCUCUUUGAUCAUCCUUUGUAUUUUAUUGUAUAUGAUGACACCUAAUAUUCUUCCUAUGGCUGGCCCACUUUGGCACGAAAUUCUUCUUGAAACUAGCCUGAAUAGCAUCAUUUGAACUAAGGCAUAGAGCGCAG